GCAAUCUUUUUAUUUUUUAGGGUCAUACGUGGAUGAAGGAUGAUGAAGCAUCAGGUUGUAAGCAAUGUAAAAAAGAAUUUUCCAUUUCAAGACGAAAGCAUCAUUGUCGAAACUGUGGAGAUAUCUUUUGCAAUACAUGCUCAAG